rnacentral:rRNA from 1 species
CCUACGGGAUGCAGCAGUGAGGAAUAUUGGUCAAUGUCCGGAAGGCUGAACCAGCCAUGCCGCGUGAAGGUCAGUGCCCUAUGGGCUUUAAACUUCUUUUGUGCGGGAGCAAUAAUGGUCACGUGUGGCCAGACGAGAGUACCGUACGAAUAAGCAUCGGCUCACUCCGUGACAGCAGCCGCGGUAAUACGAGGGAUGCAAGCGUUAUCGGGAUUUAUUGGGUUUAAAGGGUGCGUAUGCUGUGGGGUAAGUCAGCGGUGAAAUGCACCCGCUAAACGGGGUGAAGUGCCAUUGAUACUGGCUUGCUGGAAUGCGGAUGCCGUGGGAGGAAUGUGCGGUGUAGCGGUGAAAUGCAUAGAUAUCACACAGAACACCGAUUGCGAAGGCAUCUCACGAAUUCGCGAUUGACGCUGAGGCACGAAAGCGUGGGUAUCAAACAGGAUUAGAUACCCCGGUAGUC